rnacentral:misc_RNA from 1 species
UCAAUAGAGAUCGAUCGCCGAUGACUUUUUGUGUACUUAUCAAAAGAUUCAUUUCAUACUUUUGAAUCGAUCUCGAAAUUGCUCAGAUGCAAAGGUGGACAAUGAAGAUCAAUGUGCUGCCGUUGAUGACAUGUUAGACAUCUUGGGCAUAAUUUAACAAAUAUGGAACAAGAUGUCAAUAUUCAGAAUUGGAUCGGGCAGGCAAAGUUUGACAGUGUUCCAACUGAGGGAAACGAUGGAGAACACAAACGUAAACAGAGACAAACAAGUGCCCAAAUAAGGGAGCGAAAGAAGGAAAGGAGAAAAGAAGGGAUAAAGAAAGAAGUACGGAUAAAAGCAUGGAUUGGUAUUGAUGACGGAAGUCAGCAAAAACUAAAAGACACCCUUAAAGAAGUAGAUACUACACAUAAACAAGCUGAAGCUAAAAAGAAACGAGAGAAAGAAAAAGCUGCAAGAGAACGUGCUGAACGGGAGAAAACUAAGUUAGAACAAAGUGCUAAUGUUAAAGAGGGAGAGGGUGAAGCUGAUGCAAACAAUGGAACAGCUGAUAAUGAUAAGAGUGCAAUAGACGACGCUGACAGUGCCAUAGGGGAUGAAGCAAGUAGUAAACUUGGAGAAAGUAUGGAGAAGAAGUUAGUGGGGAAAAAGAAACAUGAAGAAGAUGAGGAAGAAGAAUAUAAGGAGCCUGAACCAUAUGUUUGGACAGACGAGGAAAUAGCUGCAGUACAAGAGGAGUUGUAUCAAGCAGUGAAAUUGAGCCAGAAGAGAGUAAUUGAGGAGCUUCUGGAACAUCCGUGUGUACCUGACAUAAACUGGAAAUAUUAUGGAGAGAAUCUACUGAUGUUGGCCAUACGGGAAAAGAAUGAGAAAAUGGCAUUGUUCCUUAUUGACAAUGGUAUAAACGUCAACCAUGCUGCUGACAGACUGAUGAAGGAUCUCACUGAGCUGGAGUCUUCAAAGAGAUUUAAAGUUUUCAAGUAUAGCUGUAGACAGAUGGCAUAUGACCGGGGAAUGACAAAACUGGUCGAUGUAAUAGAUUAUCAAAACAGGGAACUAUUUCCUUUUAUAACCCAUCCACGAUACAGAGAACCGGUGCUACGUAGAUCACGCUCUUUGUUAGAGCUAAUCAAAAUGGCUAAAAUAGCAGAGAUUCAGAUUGCCAAAGAGGAGGAACUGGGCUCAGAUGAUGAGCUAUGUGACUGUGAAUAUUGUGAACAAGAUAGGGAGAGUGAGGUGGAUGAGAAAAAGGUUGUUAAACCAGCUGUUGAGGACUCAGAGGAGGAAGAUGAGGAGGAAGAAGGAAAUGACGAUGAGGGUUAUGGUACAAUUUCACGGACUAGCUCGCCACAAGGAACAGUCUCUUGGCAUAACAGGCUGAGUAAUAUUUCUUAUAGUAGAAUGAUUAAUGCUGCAUCCAUGUCGACGUUGAACGCUUUAAAUGGUGAACAAUUGCGCUUGUUGAAUGCUUCGCCUGUUGGUAAACCCAUUCCUUC